GGUAAUUGAUGUAUUAUUUUCCUAACAGUCUUUUAUAGGAUAUUGAUUGACAGAUUAGGAUCUUUGAUCUAGAAGGUUUUUAGAGCAUCUUCCAGCUAUGGCCAAGCCUAUCAAAUCAAUAUUUGGAUCUUAGAACCAUUGGCCUCACUUGUAACGUGCAUCAAGACACUUCGACCAUUUACACUAGCAGCAGAGAUUUCGAUGACUUGUAUGUGCAAAGUGACUAGAUGGAGUGAAGAAUGGUGGAACAGUGACUGGAUGGUAAUGAGAUGUUUGGUUGACAUUUUCUAAUUGUAACUUGAGGAUUUAUGUGGGUUUUUUUUUUUCAUUUUAGACUUUUUAGUAUGGUAUGAUAUGCUCAUAUCACUAUAUGUUAUGUACUUCAAUCUGUAGAAACAGUUCAUUGAAUGUUUGAUUUAUUUCACUCUAUGCAUUUUCUGCUUGUAAUAUGUUAGUUGAAAAGUAAAAUAGGAAGCAAUUUCUUUACAAUGUAGGCCUAGGAGGGCUUCCAUCAUACUCUACAUAACUGGAGUUUCAACAGUGAGUUCAAAUUUAUUUUGCACAA